rnacentral:rRNA from 1 species
GUGGUUGGGUCAUGGACGCAGUCUGACCAGCCAUGCCGCGUGCAGGAUGACGGUCCUAUGGAUUGUAAACUGCUUUUGUACGGAAAAAAACUACUCUACGUGUAGAGUCCUGACGGUACCGUAAGAAUAAGGAUCGGCUAACUCCGUGCCAGCAGCCGCGGUAAUACGGAGGAUCCGAGCGUUAUCCGGAAUCAUUGGGUUUAAAGGGUCCGUAGGCGGUUUUAUAAGUCAGUGGUGAAAUCCGGCAUCUCAACUGUCGAACUGCCAUUGAUACUGUAUAACUUGAAUUAUUGUGAAGUAACUAGAAUAUGUAGUGUAGCGGUGAAAUGCUUAUAUAUUACAUGGAAUACCAAUUGCGAACGCAGGUUACUAACAAUACAUUGACGCUGAUGGACGAAAGCGUGGGGAGCGAACAGGAUUACAUACCCUGGUAGUCCACGCCGUAAACUAUGGAUACUAUCUGUUCGGUCGCAAGACUGAGUGGCUAAGCGAAAGUGAUAAGUAUCCCACCUGGGGAGUACGAACGCAAGUUUGAAACUCACAGGAAUUGACGGGGGCCCGCACAAGCGGUGGAGCAUGUGGUUUAAUUCGAUGAUACCCGAGGAACCUUACCAGGGCUUAAAUGUAGGAUGACAGGUUUGGAAACAGACUUUUCUUCGGACAUUCUACAAGGUGCUGCAUGGUUGUCGUCAGCUCGUGCCGUGAGGUGUCAGGUUAAGUCCUAUAACGAGCGCAACCCCUGUUGUUAGUUGCCAGCGAGUAAUGUCGGGAACUCUAGCAAGACUGCCGGUGCAAACCGCGAGGAAGGUGGGGAUGACGUCAAAUCAUCACGGCCCUUACGUCCUGGGCUACACACGUGCUACAAUGGCCGGUACAGAGAGCAGCCACCUAGCGACAGGAGCGAAUCUAUAGGCCGGUCACAGUUCGGAUUGGUAGUCUGCAACCCGACUCCUGAAGCUGGGAUCCCUAGUAAUCGGAUAUCAGCCAUGAUCCGGUGAAUACGUUCCCGGGCCCUUGGACCCCACCGCCCGAUCAAGCCAUGUAAGCUGGCGGGUACCUGAAAGUCGGUAUACCGCCAAGGAUCUGCCCUAUGGUAAAAACUGGGUAACUGAGC